UUGGAGGGCAAGUCUGGUGCCAGCAGCCGCGGUAAUUCCAGCUCCAAUAGCGUAUAUUAAAGUUGUUGCAGUUAAAAAGCUCGUAGUUGAAUUUCAGGAUCAUCAGGUUGGUCGUGCCACUGGUAUGUACUUGCCUCGGUGGUCCCUCCCUCUUGAAGAACCGUAAUGCCAUUAAUUUGGUGAUGCGGGGAUUCAGGACUGUUACUUUGAAAAAACCAGAGUUUUUAAAGCAUCCAAACGUUGAUCUACGAAACCAUCAAAUAAAGACCAAACGUGUUUGAUCAUUAUUCCAGGUUAAUGUAUUCAAGCGUUUGCCUGCUAGGGAUCUCUAAGGCAUCAAAGUAACAGUCCAGUUCCCCGCAACACCAAAUUAAGAACAUUGCGUUUCUUCAAAGCAUUUGCCAAGGAUGUUCACGUUCAUCACGAACGCAAGUUCGGCGAUCGAAGCCGAUCAGACACCGUCGUGGUCUUAACCAUAAGCAACGCUGACUAGGGAUCGGAAGAUGGAAAUUUUUUAAUGAGUCAUUAGCCGCCUUACGGGAAAC
rnacentral:rRNA from 1 species